rnacentral:rRNA from 1 species
UACGUAGGGGGCAAGCGUUGUCCGGAAUCAUUGGGCGUAAAGAGCGUGUAGGCGGCUCGUUAAGUCUGCUGUGAAAGUCCAGGGCUCAACCCUGGAAGGCCGGUGGAAACUGUCAGGCUAGAGUCCGGAAGAGGCGAGUGGAAUUCCCGGUGUAGCGGUGAAAUGCGCAGAUAUCAGGAGGAACACCUAUAGCGAAGGCAGCUCGCUGGGACGGUAUUGACGCUGAGGCGCGAAAGCGUGGGGAGCGAACAGG